AAAUGAAUAGACGGGGGCCCGCACAAGCGGAGGAACAUGUGGUUUAAUUCGAUGAUACGCGAGGAACCUUACCUGGGCUUAAAUGCAGAAUGCAUGUCGUGGAAACACGCUUCCCUUCGGGGCUUUUUGCAAGGUGCUGCAUGGUUGUCGUCAGCUCGUGCCGUGAGGUGUCGGGUUAAGUCCCAUAACGAGCGCAACCCCUAUCGUUAGUUGCCAUCAGGUAAUGCUGGGAACUCUAACGAGACUGCCACCGUAAGGUGAGAGGAAGGUGGGGAUGACGUCAAAUCAGCACGGCCCUUAUGUCCAGGGCUACACACGUGUUACAAUGGCAGGUACAAAGGGCAGCUACACCGCGAGGUGAUGCUAAUCUCUAAAGCCUGUCUCAGUUCGGAUCGGAGUCUGCAACUCGACUCCGUGAAGUUGGAUUCGCUAGUAAUCGUAUAUCAGCCAUGAUACGGUGAAUACGUUCCCGGGCCUUGUACACACCGCCCGU
rnacentral:rRNA from 1 species